UGCAAGUCGAGCGGUAACAGAAAGUAGCUUGCUACUUUGCUGACGAGCGGCGGACGGGUGAGUAAUGCUUGGGAACAUGCCUUGAGGUGGGGGACAACAGUUGGAAACGACUGCUAAUACCGCAUAAUGUCUACGGACCAAAGGGGGCUUCGGCUCUCGCCUUUAGAUUGGCCCAAGUGGGAUUAGCUAGUUGGUGAGGUAAUGGCUCACCAAGGCGACGAUCCCUAGCUGGUUUGAGAGGAUGAUCAGCCACACUGGGACUGAGACACGGCCCAGACUCCUACGGGAGGCAGCAGUGGGGAAUAUUGCACAAUGGGCGCAAGCCUGAUGCAGCCAUGCCGCGUGUGUGAAGAAGGCCUUCGGGUUGUAAAGCACUUUCAGUCAGGAGGAAAGGUUAGUAGUUAAUACCUGCUAGCUGUGACGUUACUGACAGAAGAAGCACCGGCUAACUCCGUGCCAGCAGCCGCGGUAAUACGGAGGGUGCGAGCGUUAAUCGGAAUUACUGGGCGUAAAGCGUACGCAGGCGGUUUGUUAAGCGAGAUGUGAAAGCCCCGGGCUCAACCUGGGAACUGCAUUUCGAACUGGCAAACUAGAGUGUGAUAGAGGGUGGUAGAAUUUCAGGUGUAGCGGUGAAAUGCGUAGAGAUCUGAAGGAAUACCGAUGGCGAAGGCAGCCACCUGGGUCAACACUGACGCUCAUGUACGAAAGCGUGGGGAGCAAACGGGAUUAGAUACCCCGGUAGUCCACGCCGUAAACGAUGUCUACUAGAAGCUCGGAGCCUCGGUUCUGUUUUUCAAAGCUAACGCAUUAAGUAGACCGCCUGGUGAGUACGGCCGCAAGGUUAAAACUCUACAA
rnacentral:rRNA from 1 species